GCUGCUGUAGCUCAGGGGCAGAGCACUCCCUUGGUAAGGGAGAGGUCGAGAGUUCAAAUCUCUCCAGCAGCACCA
rnacentral:tRNA from 1 species